rnacentral:tRNA from 1 species
GGAUUAUUAGCUCAGUUGGUUAGAGCGUUCCGUUCACAUCGGAAAGGUCAGUGGUUCGAGUCCACUAUAGUCCACAA